rnacentral:rRNA from 1 species
GACGAACGCUGGCGGCGUGCCUAAUACAUGCAAGUCGAACGCAGUGGGGACGGGUGAUUAACACGUGGGUAACCUCCCAUCAGAGGGGAUAACACUUGGAAACAGGUGCUAAACUGCUACUGAUUGAUGGACCCGCGGUGCUUUGGCUAGUUGGUGAGGUAACGGCCAACCAAGGCCACGAUGCAUAGCGGGCCUGAGAGUAUGAGCGGCCACACUGGAACUGAGACACGGCCCAGACUCCUACGGGAGGCAGCAGUGGGGAAUCUUGGGCAAUGGGCGCAAGUCUGACCGAGCCACGCCGCGUGAGUGAAGAAGGUUUUCGGGUCGUAAAACUCUGUUGUUAGGGAAGCGGUAUCUAACGAGAAAGCCACGGCUAACUACGUGCCAGCAGCCGCGGUAAUAC